rnacentral:lncRNA from 1 species
AUGUGUUGUAAUGGGGUCCCGUUGCAGGCUCUGUGCAGUUCCGUGUGUGGGGUCGUUGCCACUCGCGCCGUGUUUGAGGCCGUCGGGGUCGGGGACGGAGCAGCCACAUGCCACCGGAGCCACCUUCACAUGGUUACUUGCGAGGUCACAGCCCCAAAUCCUUCUUUUUCACCCCAAAAUGACCCAAAAUGGCCCUUUUUCACCCCAAAAAUGCCAUUUUUAACACCAAAAUGCCCUAAAAUGGCCCUUUUUCACCCCAAAAUCCCCCUUUUUCACCCCAAAAUGCCCCAAAAUGGCCCUUUUUCACCCCAAAAUGCCCCAAAAUGGCCCUUUUCACCCCAAAAUGGCCCUUUUUCACCCCCAAAAUGCCAUUUUUAACACCAAAUUGCCCUAAAAUUGCCCUUUUUCACCCCAAAAUGCCCCAAAAUGGCCCUUUUUCACCCCAAAAUGGCCCUUUUUCACCCCAAAAUGACCCAAAAUGGCCCUUUUUCACCCCAAAAUCCCCCUUUUUCACCCCAAAAUCCCCCUUUUUCACCCCAAAAUGGCCCUUUUUCACCCCAAAAAUGCCAUUUUUAACACCAAAAUGCCCUAAAAUGGCCCUUUUUCACCCCAAAAUCCCCCUUUUUC